UCUCCCCACUCGCUCGCUCCUCCAUGUCGCCGCACCCCAUCACCGGCGUCGUCUUCCUCUCGCGCCCCACCUCAUCGCCGGGGUUGUCUUCCUCUCGCGCCCCUGCGGCGCCGCCUUGCUCCCCACCACACAGUUUCCUCUCGCAUCCCGCCCUCAACGACGCAGGUAGUUAGAGCUCAAAGGUCGCAUUUUUUUUGCUCUGGCUACGCGCUCCUGGGUGAAGAGGCACUACUCCGGCCUAGAUCUGCGUGCGCCGGCAACGUAUUGUUGGGCGGGAGGCCCUGGAUUUGCGUGUGCCGGCGACGUAUUGUUGGGCGGAAGGCCCUGGAUUUCCGUGCGCCGACGAUGUGCCUCAGGAGGGCAAGGAUGCACUAGAUCUGCCUCAGGAGGAGCUGGAGAAACCCGACGCGAAUGCCAUCGGCGGCCGCGGGAGAUCUGGCUGGUGUUCUCGGACGUGGGGUUCGGUUUCUCGUCCUAAUCGCCGCCGGGUACUCGCCGGCCUUCUCCAUGUCGCAUGCUGGUGCGUGGUGCCGUCACUGCCUGCCGCUGCAGCCUACGACGCCACCCACGCCCAUUUGAGUUCUUGUACAAGGUCAAGAAGUGGAGGCUGAGAGUAAGCAUGGCAACAGUUUCUUGGAGUUUAAGCAGAUAACAGGAAGACAAUCAUCUGCAGUCCCCAAGAGUACCAAGGAAAAUGGAGAGACCAACACUCAAAGCUGACAAGAAUAAAGACAAGGGUGCUCAGCAGAAAUUCGAAGAGAUAAAUAAUGCGCAUGAGAUUCUGUCAGAUCUCUACGGUGAUGAGAAAGGUAACCCAGGGAUUGGUGGUGGACAUUUUGGGAACCAUGAGGGCUUCACUGGUGGCGGUCCCAAGACUACCAUGGCAAAACAUUAAGGAGGUCACAAUGCAAAGUUUCAACAAAGAAAUAGCUGACCAAGGAAUUACUUUGAUUUUGUUAUUCUAUACACAACAAGCAAAAGGUCAAUUUGUUCUAGAAAGUGUCCUGGAGGAUGUGGCUCGUUCAUUGGAUGGAGCAGUAAGGGCUGGUAAGAUAAAUUGCGAGAAAGAAAAAGCUCUUUGCAAAAAUUUGAGGGUCCUAUAUUGUUAAGUAUGAUUUGGGAUUAUGAAUAUAAGCACAAGAUGCAUUGUUAUAGAAUUUGAGGGUGAUAUCUGACAUUUAGUAGCACUGAAACACACAAGAGACAAUUGACAUGGGGCACGUAUGGACCCACUUGCUGGCAUUCACUAAUUCAGCAUGUGAGCUUUUAGAUGUUGCUUGGCCGAGCUGGCCUCUUCUGAAGACCAUAUACACACACACAUUAUUGCAGGAGCUCCAGUUAUUAUCUGAAUCUGAAUAGAUGCUGCAUGCUCAUAUUGCAUCCUUUUUUUAUGCCUUCAACUUUCGACAGAACUAUGAUCAAAUGCAAUGAAUCGUACAAGCACAUGUCAUGGUGUCCUCUACCUCUAGUUGUAUCAAUCAUGCAUGUGGACUAAAAUUGAGAUCUGGAAGCACCAUUGUCUACAGGCGCGACCUCGCCGACCUUUGUACGCAGCGAUGAGCGAGGAAGUAGUGCUUUGCCUGCAACUGGCAUCCUUGUGACCUCCAGGCCCUGGCGCCUCUUGGUGACCUCCAGGCCUGACCCUAGCGCCCCCAAGGGAAGCCCUGGACGAGCUUCUGGCUAGGGGACGGCGGCGAGCUUCCGGGAACUGCAACAAUCGGCGAGCUGGGCGACGAGCCAGUGGAUGAUCGGAGCUAGACCUGGAGUACAGCUGGGCGACGAGAUAGGGGAUCGAUCGGUACCAGUCUCGGAGCUGGACGCGAAGGCCUGGAUCGUUUGGCGAUGAGACAGGGGAUCGAUCGGAGCUGGGCCACGCGCGCUUGGUGGAUCGGAGCUGGGCCACGCGCGCCUGGUG